AAUUCACAAUCGAUUUGAAAUGGUUUUAAUCGCCCACUGCCUCGCUAAAAGGAACCUAAUGGAUCGUACGCCGUGUAAGGUGGAGAUUGAAGAAACAAUGGAGAUGAGUAAGAAUAAUUAAAUGGUUUAAUUAUUUAUGGCAAGGAUUAAUUAAUAUGUUAAUUAAUCAAACGAAUAAGUUCAUUAAAGACCUUGGGAUAGUUUUGGACCUUAAGGCCCAAUGGGCUUCGAACGUCAAGCCCAUUGACUUAAGUUGUAUGACAAC
rnacentral:lncRNA from 1 species